rnacentral:rRNA from 1 species
GGGUGGUGGAAUUUCCUGNGNAGCGGUGAAAUGCGUAGAUAUNNGAAGGAACACCAGUNGCGAAGGCGNCCACCUGGANUGAUACUGACANUGNNGUGCGAAAGCGUGGGGAGCNAACNNGAUUAGAUACCCUGGUAGUNCACGCCGUAAANGAUGUCAACUAGCCGUUGGAAUCCUUGAGAUUUUAGUGGCGCAGCUAACGCAUUAAGUUGACCGCCUGGGGAGUACGGCCGCAAGGUUAAAANUCAAAUGAAUUGACGGGGGCCCGCNCNANCGGUGGANCAUGUGGUUUAAUUNGAAGCAACGNGAAGAACCUUACCAGNCCUUGACAUGCAGAGAACUUUCCAGAGAUGGAUUGGUGCCUUNGGGAACUUUGACACAGGUGNNGCAUGGCNGUNGUCAGCUCGUGUCGUGAGAUGUUGGGUUAAGUCCCGUAACGAGCGCAACCCUUGUCCUUAGUUACCAGCACGUUAUGGUGGGCACUCUAAGGAGACUGCCGGUGACAAACCGGAGGAAGGUGGGGAUGACGUCAAGUCAUCAUGGCCCUUACGGCCUGGGCUACACACGUGCUACAAUGGUCGGUACAGAGGGUCGCCAAGCCGCGAGNNGGAGCUAAUCUCACAAAACCGAUCGUAGUCCGGAUNGCAGUCUGCAACUCGANNGCGU